AUUUCGUCCAACGUAAAAAUCACUUUCCCUGAAGUGAGCACGAUAUGGGUAAAACAAUAUAUUAUAAAUAUUCGAGUUUUUCAAAUCUUAUGGAUGAUCAUGACAGCCUCCUGCUCUUUGAAGUUAAGGCCGUUAGUGGCCGCAUGCGACGGAAGAAGAAAUCAUGUAUCUGUUUAGUUAUCACACGUACAUGCAUACCUAAUAUAAAUAGAAGCUAUAUGAAUAAACAAGAAAAGGAUAUUACAUUA